GACACUCUUUAUACGAUGCGGGCGCAUGUGAGAGGUGUUGAAGAUGGGGGAGUUAGGCAGAAAAAGGUGUGGUACAAAGCCGUGCGAGAUGGGAGGAAAGCCUUGCAUGAGAACCACAAAAAGAAAGCUCUUCGCUUUAAAUGGGUACCAAAAGUGAAGAAGAAAAGUGAUAGCUCGCAGCCAGGGUACAAAGCGGUUGUGAAUGAAUUUGGCAAGCAAAAAUCUGUCAAAUUUGAGUUAGAUCCUCCCAUUGAGAAGAACCAUGCCGAUGAGACAAAGCCGGACAUGAAGAUAUUUGAAAAUUCCAAGAAGAUUGAGU
rnacentral:lncRNA from 1 species